AGAGUUUGAUUAUGGCUCAGAAUGAACGCUGGCGGCAUGGAUUAGGCAUGCAAGUCGAACGUACUCCCUUCGGGGAGAAAGUGGCGAAAGGGUGAGUAACACGUGAGCAACCUGCCUCCGGAUCCGGAAUAAUCCAGGGAAACUUGGUCUAAAACCGGAUGAAGACAUUGGUCCGCAUGGUCUAAUGUUAAAAUAUUUAUAGUCCGGAGAGGGGCUCGCGGCCCAUUAGCUUGUUGGCGGGGUAAUGGCCCACCAAGGCUACGACGGGUAGGUGGUCUGAGAGGAUGGUCACCCACACUGGGACUGAGACACUGCCCAGACUCCUACGGGAGGCUGCAGUCAAGAAUCUUCCGCAAUGGGCGCAAAGCCUGACGGAGCGAUGCCGCGUGAGGGAUGAAGGCCUUCGGGUUGUAAACCUCUGUCAUCCGGGACGAAAACAAUGACGGUACCGGAAAAGGAAGCCACGGCUAACCACGUGCCAGCCGCAGC
rnacentral:rRNA from 1 species